AUAUAGCUCAAUGGCACAGCACUUGCCUUCCAAGCUUGAGGUCCUGGGUUCAAUUCCUGGUAU
rnacentral:tRNA from 1 species